GAUGAAGAACGCAGCGAAAUGCGAUAAGUAGUGUGAAUUGCAGAAUUCAGUGAAUCAUCGAAUCUUUGAACGCACAUUGCGCCCUGUGGUAUUCCGCAGGGCAUGCCUGUUCGAGCGUCAUUUCAACCCUCAAGCUCUGCUUGGUGUUGGGCCCUGCCCGCUGCGGCCGGCCCUAAAGACAGUGGCGGUGCCGCCUGGCCCUGAGCGUAGUACAUCUCUCGCUCCAGUGCCCGGUGGUAGCCUGCCAGAACCCCAACUCUCGUGGUUGACCUCGGAUCAGGUAGGGAUACCCGCUGAACUUAAGCAUAUCAAUAAGCGGAGGA
rnacentral:misc_RNA from 1 species